rnacentral:rRNA from 1 species
GUAGGGAAUAUUGCACAAUGGGGGAAACCCUGAUGCAGCGACGCCGCGUGAAGGAAGAAGUAUUUCGGUAUGUAAACUUCUAUCAGCAAGGAAGAAAAUGACGGUACUUGACUAAGAAGCCCCGGCUAAAUACGUGCCAGCAGCCGCGGUAAUACGUAUGGGGCAAGCGUUAUCCGGAUUUACUGGGUGUAAAGGGAGCGUAGGCGGCAUGGCAAGUCAGAAGUGAAAGCCUGGGGCUCAACCCCGGAAUUGCUUUUGAAACUGUCAGGCUAGAGUGUCGGAGGGGUAAGCGGAAUUCCUAGUGUAGCGGUGAAAUGCGUAGAUAUUAGGAGGAACACCGGUGGCGAAGGCGGCUUACUGGACGAUUACUGACGCUGAGGCUCGAAAGCGUGGGGAGCAAACAGGAUUAGAAACCCCAGUAGUCC